AGGGGUAGAGCUCAGUGGUAGAGUGUGUGCUUAGUAUGUACCAGGUCCUGGGUUCAAUCCCCAGUACCUCUG
rnacentral:tRNA from 1 species